AGACCACCAAGGUCCAGUCGUCGAACAACUAGAAGUUCCUACCCUUCUCGUCAAUGUGAAGCUUGUGGAAGAUAUCAUAGUGGGAUAUGCUAUAAGGCUAUUGGAGCCUGUUAUAACUGUGGAGGCACAGGACACUUUGCCAAGGACUGCACCAGUAGUCGCAGAGUUGGACCACCUCCUACUAUUGCAGAAGGAUCAGUUCAGAGCCCUGUCACUAGAAGUUCACAACCACCUAGCAGAGGUAGAGGCAGGGGUAGAGGUAGCCUAGCAGGCAGCCAAGGCACAGUGAAACAUUCAGAGCAAGACAGUGCUCCAGCCAGAAUCUAUGCAAUAAGACAGAGGGAAGAGGCCGAGACAUCUGAUGUUGUGGCUGUUAGCAAAGACUCAGGGAAAGGGAAGGAAACACUAAGUCAAGACCAAGAGACAGUUAUCAGAGGU